rnacentral:rRNA from 1 species
GGGUUCGACCCNUUCUGUGCCGGAGCUAACGCGUUAAGCGCGCCGCCUGGGGAGUACGGUCGCAAGACUAAAACUCAAAGAAAUUGACGGGGACCCGCACAAGCGGUGGAGUAUGUGGCUUAAUUCGAUGCAACGCGAAGAACCUUACCCAGGCUUGACAUGCUCGUCAUACCUUCCCGAAAAGGAAGGGUCGGUUCGGCCGGACGAUGCACAGGUGCUGCAUGGCCGUCGUCAGCUCGUGUCGUGAGAUGUUGGGUUAAGUCCCGCAACGAGCGCAACCCCUGUGAACUGUUGCCAGCACAUAAUGGUGGGGACUCUGUUCAGACUGCCCAGAUCAACUGGGAGGAAGGUGGGGACGACGUCAGGUCAGUAUGGCCCUUACGCCUGGGGCCGCACACGUACUACAAUGCCCGGCACAGUGAGAACCGAGACAGCGAGGUGGAGGAAAUCUACAAAACCGGGCCCAGUUCAGAUUGGAGGCUGCAACUCGCCUCCAUGAAGUCGGAAUCGCUAGUAAUGGCGCAUCAGCUACGGCGCCGUGAAUACGUUCCCGGGUCUUGUACACACCGCCCGUCACAUCAUGGAAGCCGGUCGCACCCGAAGUGCACGAGCUAAACUCGUUAGGCAGUGCCCUAAGGUGAGGCUGGUAACUGGGAUGAAGUCGUAACAAGGUAGCCGUA